CUACUUAGAGCUUUGUGGUUCUUCGCUGGCAUGAACGUCUUGUAUGUGUUUGUUUAGUUUGUGAGGUGCUUCUUACCUUUUAGCUGGUGGUUGUGAUUCCGGUGCUUGAGGCAUGUGUCUUCUUGUUUCGUGGUGACUCUGAUCUCCUGAUGAUUAUUCUUUCUCUCACCUUUUUGGGGUUUUUGGGUUUUUUGGGUUGGUGCUUGAUCACGCUCCUUUAAGAUCGUAGGAAUGUUUUGUCUUAUAUUUUACUCCCUCUGCUCCAAAAUAGAUGAUGUUUUAGAAAUGUUAUGAUGUUUCAAAAUAGAUGAUGUUUUGAUAUUUUAUAUUAAUUUAAAUUUUAUUGAAAACUGUGUGACCAGUGAUGUUUUAUAUUUAUUUUUAAGGAUUGGAUGAAUUAAUUUUGGUUUAUAUUUUUAAUGUUUUUUUAGAAAAAAAGUGUAUACCUUAAUUCUUGUGCAUACACUCAAAACAUCAAAUAUUUUGGAACAGAAGGAAUAUCCUUUUAUCUUUUCUAACAUCUGCUUGUUCUAUCCAUGAUAUUAUUGGUACGAUGAGAUAAGUUAGUUUUCUUUGUUGAUCUUUUUCCAGCUCCAAACUUUUAUUGAGUUAGUGUUACUAUAGUAUU
rnacentral:lncRNA from 1 species